rnacentral:rRNA from 1 species
CCCUAGUAACGGCGAGUGAAGCGGCAACAGCUCAAAUUUGAAAUCUGGCGUCUUCGGCGUCCGAGUUGUAAUUUGCAGAGGGCGCUUUGGCAUUGGCAGCGGUCCAAGUUCCUUGGAACAGGACGUCACAGAGGGUGAGAAUCCCGUACGUGGUCGCUAGCCUUUACCGUGUAAAGCCCCUUCGACGAGUCGAGUUGUUUGGGAAUGCAGCUCUAAAUGGGAGGUAAAUUUCUUCUAAAGCUAAAUACUGGCCAGAGACCGAUAGCGCACAAGUAGAGUGAUCGAAAGAUGAAAAGCACUUUGGAAAGAGAGUUAAAAAGCACGUGAAAUUGUUGAAAGGGAAGCGCUUGCAGCCAGACUUGCCUGUAGUUGCUCAUCCGGGUUUCUACCCGGUGCACUCUUCUACGGGCAGGCCAGCAUCAGUUUGGGCGGUUGGAUAAAGGUCUCUGUCAUGUACCUCCCUUCGGGGAGAUCUUAUAGGGGAGACGACAUGCAACCAGCCUGGACUGAGGUCCGCGCAUCUGCUAGGAUGCUGGCGUAAUGGCUGUAAGCGGCCCGUCUUGAAACACGGACCAAGGAGUCUAACAUCUAUGCGAGUGUUUGGGUGUCAAGCCCGAGCGCGUAAUGAAAGUGAACGGAGGUGGGAACCUUUCGGGGUGCACCAUCGACCGAUCCUGAUGUCUUCGGAUGGAUUUGAGUAAGAGCAUAGCUGUUGGGACCCGAAAGAUGGUGAACUAUGCUUGAAUAGGGUGAAGCCAGAGGAAACUCUGGUGGAGGCUCGCAGCGGUUCUGACGUGCAAAUCGAUCGUCAAAUUUGGGCAUA